rnacentral:rRNA from 1 species
UACGUAGGGUGCGAGCGUUAAUCGGAAUUACUGGGCGUAAAGGGCGCGUAGGCGGCGCGGGGAGUCAACGGUGAAAGCUCGGCGCUCAACGCCGAGUCGGCCGUCGAUACUCCCCGUGCUCGAGCACUGUAGAGGCAGGUGGGAAUUCCGGGUGUAGCGGUGGAAUGCGUAGAGAUCCGGAGGAACACCGACGGCGUAAGCAGCGCCCUAAACGAGUACUGACGCUCAGGCACGAA